rnacentral:rRNA from 1 species
UACGGAGGGUGCAAGCGUUAUCCGGAUUUACUGGGUUUAAAGGGCGCGUAGGCGGUCGUGACAAGUCACUUGUGAAAUCUCCGGGCUUAACUCGGAACGGUCAAGUGAUACUGUCGGACUAGAGUACAGAAGGGGCAACUGGAAUUCUCGGUGUAGCGGUGAAAUGCGUAGAUAUUGGGAGGAACACCAGUGGCGAAGGCGGCUCACUGGACCGGAACUGACGCUGAGGCGCGAAAGCGUGGGGAGCAAACAGG